AUAAGCUACCAGUCCUAAUACAAGGCAUAUUUGUUACUGCGCAUCUAAGCCACACUCUCCAGCAGUCAUAUCAGAGAUGGAUGGACAUCUCCACCUGCCUCACUUUUUUUCCCUUUCCUCAAACUCUGAUGGGAUAGAAGCUCUUAUUUCACCUCCCUUACACUCUGAUAAUGUCCAGUUUGCAGAUCUCCAGGUGAUAACGAAUCCUGCACCUCAGUCUACAAAAAGGAAGGUUGGAAGCAUUGGUAGAAAAUGUAUUGACCCCCAGAUAGCCGUGGAGGUAGCCAGGUGGCCAAGAAUUUCAGUUAGAGGAAAUUCCAUUUGCUUCCUAUCCAAGAUGACCGUGCAUUUUCCAGGGAGAAGAUAAAAAACUUAGAGACCUGAUGAGCUCUGGCAAGGAAGGGGACCAGGAGCAAGCACACCAUUCUGUGCAGGUGGAAGGGCUGCCACUCCUGCAAAAGGAAUUUUCCGUCAAUUACAAACAAUCCCACACAGUUUCCCUUAGAUUGUCACAACGAUUUUCAACCUAAUGAAAGUUCGGUCCAAUGCCACUGUCUGAUUGUUCAAUCACUAUCUGAUUGCCAGUUAGACUUUCCAUCCUUCAAAUUCCACCACAAGACAAAGAAGAGAUAAUGUCCCAGAGAAGUGUGGGAGGAGAGGGGGAAAAAAGGCAGAGGAAGGAAACAGGCAUUGCCCACGCCUGAACUUUGUCGCCCCUGGAUCAGUCUCCGGAGAUGGAAGUCAGCAUCCUGAAGGGACUGUGUUGGGUGGCCUGCUCCCUGAUAGAGCAGCUGAGAUCCAGGCUGCGUUUCUGCUGUUUUCAUUCCGGUGGUACCUUGUCUCCCAAGCUUGCCCCUGUGACCAGGGGACUAGGUGUUUGUACCCUUGUGAGUCCUCUUUCACCCCUCCCUGGAACCUGAAUUGGACCUGUGACUCACUUCUAUCAAUAAGAUGUGACGGGAAUGACACUGUGCAAAUUUCUGGCUUUAAGAAAACUUGGCAGCUUCCACUUGUGUGCUCUUACCAUGUAAGAAGCCCAGUUACCCUGCUGGAGAGGGUCCACCUGGAGAGGCCCUGGAGGAUUUCUUCUCAUGGAAAAAGAACCCACAAGAAGGUCAACAAGGUGCCAUAUGUGUGAGUGAGAAAGCCAUUCCAGCCCAGCUGAGUCUCCACAGAACUCCAGCUCCACUUGCCGUCUGAUGGCAACUUCGUGAGCAAUCCCCAAGCCAGACCAGCAGAAGAACCAUCAGGCUGAGUCCAGUUAGCUCAUAGAAUCAUGAUAACAAUUACUGAUUUUAAGCCAUUGUGUCUGGAGUUCUUUGUUACACAGCCUUAGAUAACUGAAGAACUACCUGUAUUACUUUGGCACUUUCUGCAUGGAUGGUGUUGCUGUCCUACAAGGCAUGGAGUCUGGUUGCAUUGGGAACCAGGCUUCCUGCUCUGCCAGCUCAAAGGAAGAGAAUGAAGGUGGUACCUGUGAGACAGAGAAUGGGCUGUCUCAUUUGCUUAGUUUAGUUAACUUUGUUUUUUUUUUAAGUCUCACUAUCCUGGAAGAUCAGGAAAAUUGAUUUUGAAGAGCUUGGAAUUAUAAUCUAAUCUCUUUCCAACACUAUUCAUUAUGUUGGAUAGGAGACCUUAAGUCUAGAUCUUGCUCUAGUGCCAACUAGUUGUGUGACCUUGUGCAAAUCAGUUGACUCAUUUGAAAGAGGUGAUGGUUGUACUAUUAGGGAAGCAAAUAAGAAGCCACCACUUUUCCUUUCUUUGUCUAUGGCAGACAUCAGGAAUCCACUGUGGCUUUACUGAGCCUAGGCUUGGCCUCAGAAUCCUUCUCAACACAGACAGCUGCAGCCUUCUGAUCAGAAUUAACUCAUCAGAUGAACCCUGUUUGCUAAUCUCUGAUUAAAUGGUAAGUCCUCUUCUACUGCAGUUGGGUAAAUGUUAGGUGACUUAAGAAUAAAUUAAUAAAAUAGUUAAUUACA
rnacentral:lncRNA from 1 species